rfam:Schistocephalus solidus strain NST_G2 genome assembly, scaffold: SSLN_contig0011131
GAGACCGUGGCUCAAUGGUAGAGCGUUCGACUCAAAUACCAAAGCUCGUUGGUUCAAAUCCCAGGUUUUC